AUUGAACGCUGGCGGCAGGCUUAACACAUGCAAGUCGAGCGGGGGAAGGUAGCUUGCUACCGGACCUAGCGGCGGACGGGUGAGUAAUGCUUAGGAAUCUGCCUAUUAGUGGGGGACAACAUCUCGAAGGGGAUGCUAAUACCGCAUACGUCCUACGGGAGAAAGCAGGGGAUCUUCGGACCUUGCGCUAAUAGAUGAGCCUAAGUCGGAUUAGCUAGUUGGUGGGGUAAAGGCCUACCAAGGCGACGAUCUGUAGCGGGUCUGAGAGGAUGAUCCGCCACACUGGGACUGAGACACGGCCCAGGCUACUACGGGAGGCAGCAGUGGGGAAUGUUGGAUAAUGGGGGGAACCCUGAUCCAGCCAGGCCGCUUGUGUGAAGAAUGCCUUAUGGUUGUAAAGCACUUUAAGCGAGGAGGAGGCUACUCUAGUUAAUACCUAGGGAUAGUGGACGUUACUCGCAGAAUAAGCACCGGCUAACUCUGUGCCAGCCGCCGCCGUAA
rnacentral:rRNA from 1 species